rnacentral:lncRNA from 1 species
CCAAACCAGACGUUUAGUUGUUACUCUACAAUAAGGACAUCUGCAUCGGUGGUAAAUAAGUUUCUUCCAAGUAUAAUAUAACUAUUUUGGAUUUAAUUAGAAUUUGUAAUUAACUUUUAUUGAUAAACAAAACAGAGCCACUUAAAACAUGCCUUUGGUAUUUAGAGUCUCUUAAAUGUCCGUAAUGGUAUGGUCUUAGAGAUACUUGGCGUUUCUUUUAUUUUUUCUAUACAUUUUCUUUCAUCUCUUUCUAUUAUUUUCUUUUUUUUAAUCGAAAAAUUACGGUAGAAACCAACCGAUGCGGAUGGUCUAAUAAACUAAUCCAAAAAGCCAUCAAAAAUUUGAUGAUUUAUUUUGACAAAUAUCAAUUUUCCGAACAAUUGGAAGGUGGACAAAUAAUAAUGCAUUGACGUCCACAUUAAAAUUAGGAUUCGUAGGUCCCAAGGAAAUCUAAAGGGAGGGACCCAUUAAUAUUUGCUCGAACAUUUUUUUAAGUCAUUUGACUUUUCCUUUCUUCCAAACAAAAUUUGCUGUUUA